GACGAACGCUGGCGGCGUGCCUAAUACAUGCAAGUUGAGCGCUGAAGGUUGGUACUUGUACCGACUGGAUGAGCAGCGAACGGGUGAGUAACGCGUGGGGAAUCUGCCUUUGAGCGGGGGACAACAUUUGGAAACGAAUGCUAAUACCGCAUAAAAACUUUAAACACAAGUUUUAAGUUUGAAAGAUGCAAUUGCAUCACUCAAAGAUGAUCCCGCGUUGUAUUAGCUAGUUGGUGAGGUAAAGGCUCACCAAGGCGAUGAUACAUAGCCGACCUGAGAGGGUGAUCGGCCACAUUGGGACUGAGACAAGGCCCAAACUCCUACGGGAGGCAGCAGUAGGGAAUCUUCGGCAAUGGACGAAAGUCUGACCGAGCAACGCCGCGUGAGUGAAGAAGGUUUUCGGAUCGUAAAACUCGGUUGGUAGAGAAGAACGUUGGUGAGAGUGGAAAGCUCAUCAAGUGACGGUAACUACCCAGAAAGGGACGGCUAACUACGUG
rnacentral:rRNA from 1 species